GCCCACUGCCCCGCAGCGAACGCCGCCGCCGCUCCGCCGCUCCGGAGAGGAGAAGAUGGCUGCGCCGACUUCCCAAAUUACGAAACCGGUUGGGGAAGGGAAAGGAAAGCGAGCAGGAAGCGAGCAGGUGCAGGGAGCACUGCAGUGCGGCCAGGGCGACCUGCAGCUCUAAUUAGCGCUUCUGUUAAUUGGGCUGCAGCGGGCAGAGAGAAAAGCCUGCACGCUCCCCCGUGCCCACCCGUGCUGGGGAACAGCUGGGCCCUAAAGCUGACGUGGAUCCCCGAGCAGAUGGGGUUCCUCCUGUGCAGAACGGGGGAUCCCCAGCUCACGGCUCCUGCUCAGAAGGCUCCAAUCCUCAAAAUCGGGAUGAAGCGAAGCACUGAGAAACGGAUUCAUUCCCUUUCUCCUAUCCGUAUUAAAUGAAAGACUAAUUAAAUAGCCCAAAUUAGAAACCAUUUCCUCAAAUUGCUUUGCUUUUCCAGCAAAUGUGGCCCCAGGGAACGGCGGUCCCGGGUGGCGUGGAGGGGUUGGGAGCGGUGCCUGCAGCCCCAUGGAAAAUGGGAGCAUCUUUCUGCAAGAGUACCCUUGAAAAGCUGAACAAACCCAUCGGUUUUGGCCAGCCUCCUGCAAGAGCAUCACAUUGCAGCGGGCUGCUUCUCAAGAGCAUGUGGAUAGCAUGAAUGGGGAUGGAGGAAGGCUUGAGGAUGCUGCCCGUCCUGCUUUGCUCUCAUCGCAGCAAGCUGGAGUCAUGAAAUGGUUGGUGCUGGGGGGGACCCUGAAGGCCAUCAGGUCCAACCCCUGUGCUGAGGAGGGACACCCACAGCUCCAUCAGUGCUCAGAGCCCCAUUCCCUGACCUCGGGUGUCUGCACCACCUCUCUGUGCAGUCUGUGCAGUGCCUCACCAAGUUAUUGAGUAAAGGGAAUGUGAGCAGUGUGGGAGGUGGAAAAGGGUUGGGUAGCACAUGUGUGCCUUUCAGGCCUUCCAAACCCUUCAGAUUACCACCGUGUGAGUUUAAUGGAUAAGAGUACGCAAAGGAAGCGGUCCAACUAAACGGGGGAAGCCUUUUGUGUUGGGAACGGCCGUAAUCCAAUACGGCCCUUUGGCAUGAUUCAAUUAAAUCCUUUCUCCUCCAAUUAAACGAUCAGCCGGAAUUUAAUAACAAGGAAUUUCUACGUGUCGUCCUCUGGAAUGAUGACCUCUGAGAUUGUAUGGGCUUAUGUAAAUUCUGCUGAUGGCUCUUCCUCUGCUUGCCUGUCACUUCCACCAGGCACUGAAUGGCCUUUACUUUACUUUCUCAUCUGCUCAAUGCAUCUCCGUUUGCAGUAAGGAUUCCUGAGUUAUUACUACAGUUGUUCCCAAUUGGAGAGGACCACCAAGAUCAUCUAGACCAGCUGUCACCACCACCGUGGCCACUAAACCACGUCACCAUUCCCCUGUGAUAGUGCAGUGUAAGACAUCCUCGUCCUGGUGGGCUGCUUGGGGACCCCAAAACCAGAGCCAAUCCACGCUGUAAAGUGUCUUGGGUGGGGGAAUUGCAUCACUGCAGCUUAAGGCAAUGAAACCAAGCUGGGAUCCAAACCCCCACGCUGACACAUCCCAGUUACCCCAGUGUGAACCUGGAGGAAUCCCCAUUGGGAAGGGGGAGCUGUGAAAGCUGUGAUCCCAGGGGUCUGCCUCCAGUAAGGCUGUGUUACGAUAAUAGGAAGCAGAUUUCCAGGCCCCUGGCAAACAAGUGGCUUCCAUAGCAUAUUUCACAGCUGAGCGCAUCGAUGGCACCAGCCUUUCUGCAGCUCUGUUAAACCCAACACCUCUUUAAUGAAUUGCAGCAAUCUGAAGUAUCCGCAUCCUGCCUGUGCUUCAGCCUUUAUGGGAGGACGUUGGGUCCUCUCCCCAUCAAGGAACCUCCUCUGUCACAUAGUACCUAUGGAUCAUAAAGUCCAAGCCCACCCCAUCGUGCCCACUAACCACGUCCCCCAGUGCCACAUCUCCACGUUCCUUUAACGCCUCUCCAACAUUGGGUAGAGCUUCUUGUCUUCCAGAAGCACCUUUCCAUCGUGGAAGAGAGAAAUGGGGAGCAAAGAGAGUGCACAUCAAGCAAAGUCAGUGUGAAAUGUCAUUUUCUCUUCCUUCCCAGCCACAGAUGUGAGGGGAGAAGCGUGGUUGGCUUUUGUGUAAGCAUGGGGUGAUUUGGGAGAUGGAGCCCUCCAGCACGGAACCAGCUCUUGGGAAAGCAGGGUGGGAAGUCCACCGAUGUGUCUGCUCUGCAGACCCAGUUUGCAUCUCCUCAGACACUGUUAUAAGGAUCGGAUAAAAGCUUAAAUGAAUAGGGAGAUUCUGAAGCCCUUCGAUAGCAGGAAAUAAUUGCCAGGAAAAAAAAAAAUCCUGUGAUCAAUCAGCAGACAAAUAUACACUUAAAUUAGGUGUUAGUGGGACAGAUGCAAGAAAGGUGAUUAUGGGUUGCCUCUGUGUUUCCUUUGGCAACGAGGAUGACACACGGGGUGGGUCAAUGCACCCUAUCAUUAAUACAGCAUCAGCAUUCCUCUGACAGCUUCUUUGUCCUGUGGAGUCAAUUCCUAUCAGGAUCUGGCAUUAGCAGGGGGAAAUUCAGCUGCCUUUGAGUCUCCAUGACCCCCCCUUGAUGCUUGCAGAUGGCAGGUAGCAGGCUAGCCCUGCAUGGUGUGUUGGGAAGGAGGCAGGAGCAAAGCCCUGCACCAAUAUGUAAUGUUUCAGCACUGAGCAAUGCAUAGAGGUACGUACAUCACUUGAUCUAUAGGCUCACUGCAAGGAUUAAGCAUGCAAUCAUCAGUUUAAUGUGUUUGAGGUUGCACUCGUGUCCGUCCUCUUAACUCAGAUGGGCUGCAGUCAUAGAACAGCAGAAUCGGUAAGGUUGGAAAAGAGCAUGGAGAUCACCAAUUCCAACUGUCACCUCUCACCACCAGUCACCUCCCCUGUGAAAAUAACAGGUUGUUGGGAUGGACAGAGGGAUUCUGUAGCUGUAUACCUGAUAACCAGCAGGUCCCUCAGUUCUGGGUUAGGUAGGAAAUAGUAAACUGAGGCACCAUGGGCUGGAGCUGAGGCAGGAAUCCCUGCUCACCACUCGAGCUCAAUAAGGAACAACUCUUCCAUCUCUUGGGUAGGAAACUGCAGUGAGAUUCAUACCCACAUGCAGCUCUGUGCUCACCCUCACGUGAUGGGCAGUUUUUGUAGUGCUCUGAUAUUAACGAGCCAGAGGUUAAAGACCAGGGAAUGCAAAGCCAUAAGCGUGGGGGCACAGCUCCCAGUGCUGUCUCGGCUCCAACUGGCUCAGCAGAUUCUCUGCUUUAGUGCAGUGCUAGAAAAAUAAACCCAAACCACCAUGUUUGGGUAUUGCAUCAUCACACGUUUGGGCUAAUUUUACUGAAAUCCACUGGUGGUUGAUGUACCCCCAGCAUUAACAGCCAGCCGUGGGAGCACGGGGUGCAUGCUUCUUUUAAUAAAGUUGGUUUAACUUCUGGCACAGAUUACAUUAAAAAAGGGAAAAAUAAUCCACAACUGCAAGCGUGAUAAAGUAUCUUAGUAUAAAAUCAAUACCGAGGCGAUUAGCAGCCUUUGAAGAAUUCCAGCCCUAAGACAGCCUGUGGCAGGCUGUCUCCAAGAGGGCUGAAAGGUGCCCGGAGUUGGGAAGUUUGGAUGCUGGAGUAAAGGACUGAUGCUGAUGGUAGAAGGGCUUUGAGGAGGUGAUGCCCAUGAAACCCUUUGUUGUAGUGCAACCCUCUCCCAUUGAGAAGCCCAUUAUCGUUAAGGUCGGAAAGAAGCAUGGAAUUCAUCGAGCCCAACCGUCAGCCCAUCCCCACUGUGCCCACUCUUAGAAUCACAGAAUCCUUAAGGUUGGAAGAGCCCUCCAAGAUCAUCACAUCCAACCGCUGACCCAUUCCCACUACGCCCAUGGGUCCAUGUGAUGGAAUCGCAGAAUCAUUAAGGCUGGAAAGGACCACUACGCUCAUCCAAUCCAACGGUCAACCCAUCAAAGAUGAAGCUGUGUUGGGCAUCGAGCCCAGCAGGGUCUUCAAGCCCAAGAGGUGAAGUGUGACCUAAAGAAAUACAGAUAUUGGGCCAGAUGUGAGGCACGAGGGGCUCUGCCCCAUCCCUCAUACCCACUGCCAGGAUGAGUACUGGGGAUGGCCAAUUUUCACCAGUUUUCUCACUUUCUGGUGGUGCUCCAUUAAAACUGGAAGUUCGUCAUCCGCAGCGGUCCAGCUCGCCUCGAGAUUAAGAUCUGCCUCAUUUGCAGUUACAUAAUUAGCAAUUAGCCUAAUUUCACUGACAUUAAAUUACUUUUUUUUUUUUUUUAACUAAAUAUUAUCUUUUCCAAGAAAAAAAAAAUAAUAAAAUGGCAUGGGUCUGCUUCGGAGUAUUUUAUAGAAAGCAACAGCAUCAUUAUCCCGUUCUCAGAUAUAACGUCUAGAUACCUUUAAUGAAAAUAUUCAUUAUUGCUAAUUUGCAUCUCUUUCAGCUCUAGGAGGAAAAUCGAAUGAAGAUGUCAAAACAGUGCUACCUCUGCCUGGGGAAAAAGGAGAUGUGGUGACCCCAAACCCACAACGCUCUGUGUGAUGGGGAAGCUCUGCAUCGUCACUGCAAUUAGGGGUAGCGUUGGGUGGGAGAUGGGCAAGGAAAAUCAGAGGGGAAAAACUCUGCAGCUGUAAGGAGUGGGGAGGAAGAAGGCAGUGCAGAGCAGAAGUAGACCCUAAUUAAGCCUUCCUUAAGCUUGCUUGAGAGCUAAUCCUCAAAUGUCGAGGUGUGCUGGGAUACAGGUUUACACUGGGAUGGCAAUGGCUUGCUUGGGUUCCAUCAGUACAAGAAAACAUAGAUUACACCUCCACAAUACACACUUCACUGAGCUUGGAGAGAGAAGCUAACAUCAUUUUUUAAAAAGAAAAUGGGGAUGAAUACUUAGAAAUAAUAAAAGCUCGGUGAAUAUUCAUCUGAACUCUUAA